CCUACGGGAGGCAGCAGUGAGGAAUAUUGGUCAAUGGACGAGAGUCUGAACCAGCCAAGUAGCGUGAAGGAUGACUGCCCUAUGGGUUGUAAACUUCUUUUAUAUGGGAAUAAAAUGUUCCACGUGUGGGAUUUUGUAUGUACCAUAUGAAUAAGGAUCGGCUAACUCCGUGCCAGCAGCCGCGGUAAUACGGAGGAUCCGAGCGUUAUCCGGAUUGAUUGGGUUUAAAGGGAGCGUAGAUGGAUUGUUAAGUCAGUUGUGAAAGUUUGCGGCUCAACCGUAAAAUUGCAGUUGAAACUGGCAGUCUUGAGUACAGUAGAGGUGGGCGGAAUUCGUGGUGUAGUGGUGAAAUGCUUAGAUAUCACGAAGAACUCCGAUUGCGAAGGCAGCUCACUGGACUGCAACUGACACUGAGGCUCGAAAGUGUGGGUAUCAAACAGGAUUAGAUACCCUAGUAGUC
rnacentral:rRNA from 1 species